AGAAAGGUGGCCGAGCGGCUUAAGGCGCACGCUUGGAAAGCGUGUAUACGGCAACGUAUCGAGGGUUCGAAUCCCUUCCUUUCUG
rnacentral:tRNA from 1 species